rnacentral:sRNA from 1 species
UCAACCACAGCAACGUAGAUCGUCCUAA